AUUGAACGCUGGCGGCAUGCUUUACACAUGCAAGUCGAACGGCAGCACGGGGCAACCUGGUGGCGAGUGGCGAACGGGUGAGUAAUGCAUCGGAACGUACCUUUCAGUGGGGGAUAACGUAGCGAAAGUUACGCUAAUACCGCAUAUUCUGUGAGCAGGAAAGCAGGGGAUCGCAAGACCUUGCGCUGAUUGAGCGGCCGAUGUCAGAUUAGCUAGUUGGUGAGGUAAAGGCUCACCAAGGCGACGAUCUGUAGCGGGUCUGAGAGGAUGAUCCGCCACACUGGAACUGAGACACGGUCCAGACUCCUACGGGAGGCAGCAGUGGGGAAUUUUGGACAAUGGGGGCAACCCUGAUCCAGCCAUGCCGCGUGAGUGAAGAAGGCCUUCGGGUUGUAAAGCUCUUUCGGCCGGGAAGAAAUCGCACGGGCCAAUACCCUGUGUGGAUGACGGUACCGGAAUAAGAAGCACCGGCUAACUACGUGCCAGCAGCCGCCGUAAUAC
rnacentral:rRNA from 1 species